CAGUCUUUACUAGGGUCAUCUGCAGGGACUAGAAAUUAUUUUCCCAGAUUCAGAAUACACUCAAAAGCCAAAACCUACACAAAAAUGUCAUAUUUUCAAUUAUAUAACAAAUAAAAAUUUACUAAAAUAUAUGAUUUACCUCUAAAGAAAUUAUGAAACCAUGAAAGAAAUGUCUCAUGCAAUUCUGCCUUCAGAUGGUUCAUCAUGUGAUUAAUCCCCUUUAUUGCAUCCUGAAAUGUUAGACGAGUCCAAGGAAAUGUUCUGCAAGCUUCCAAAUUAUCCACAAUCCUUAAUAUGAAAAGGUCCAAGAGUCCAUUAUUCUUUGGCUUUCCUCUAAUAACCCGACCAAGGAAUAACAAGACAACCAUCUUCAAUCUAUCCACACAUGGCUUCAUAGACAACAUCUUCAGCUCCACAUCUUUUAUAGUGAUAUUCUCUUUUACAUUGAAGAAAUAAUCAACAAACUUAUAACUCAUUAGCUUCAACUAUCUCUUCGGAUACUCUUGGCAAUCUAAGCCAAAAAUGAGAGCAUGCACCCUCAUAUAAAAGUGGAUUUUCACACCAUUAACCACAAACCAUUCAACAUUGUCUUCUAUAGUACAAAUGGUGCACAUGAGUAACAUCCACAUCCCUUUGAGCUCCAGGUUUGGUUUGUCUGGCAUGUGGCUGAAAUUCCGAAACUGAAGAUGGCUUGUGAGCCAGUUAACCUCGGAUUUAAGUUUCUUGAUGACCCCUACAGUCUUGAACACAUAGCACUUGGUUUAUAUCUUGUAAGUCUUCGUGGACUGAAUGUUGUUGAAGUAGAACUCAAGGGGUUGCAUUGGUUGUCUUUCCUGCAAUAAAAAUACAUAUAUACUCAUUAGUUGCUCUAGUGACUCUUACUGUUACUAGUAAUACCAGUAAUAUCUAUAUAUAAUAGCAAACCAAAAUUUUGUACUCUAUGAUGUCAUCUUUUUUUGUAGGAAAAAAAAUAUCAAUCAAACGGUGGAAUUUAUCUUGAGGGUAAAAUCUAAUGGUUACAAUUUUGUUUAAAAUGAAACUAUGGCGUCAUCUAUUCAAUCAUCGUCUUUGAUCCACAAAGUUAUAACUCCUCGAAGGCAACGCGACACAAGGCUUACAGAAAUCGUAUAACCGUCAUCAUCUCCCUUAAGAGUCGUGUCUUUUCACAAACUUAUUAAUAGAAUUUACUGCAUUAGAUUGCGUUUUCGGUAGUUCCUUCUUCAGAUUCUCUAAUUGGCUUCUCAUCUCUCUCUGGACUUUUCUUUUCUGGUAAUUACUUCGGUGGACGUGGGAUCCAUAGACGGUUAAAUCGUUCGUCCAUACAUCUUUUUUAAAUGUAUCUUUCUACUCAGAAUCUAAGAAUGGAUUUCUACAUAAUCACCUUUGUAAACCAAUUGUUUGUUUCGGUCUUUCUCCAAUUCAAUAAGGAACAUAAAUCAAUGUCUUGAUGCCUUGUUUGAUGUCCAGGAACAUAAAUCAAUCUUCCUCCUGUACGUGUUUGAUGUCUGUUUGAUGUCUUGUUUGAUUUCUGCCACUUUUAAUUUUUCUUUUCGCGGCGUGCUCCAGGAACAUAAAUCAAUCCAGUUGACGCUAUUUGAAUGUCUCUGUAAUCCAAUCUCUUUUUGGAUGGUUAGGAAUGCGUGGGAUGAGAUGGAGUGAAUUGCGUUUUAUUUUUUGGCCAACGACCAAUCCACUUGAACACUUACACCAGCAAUUAUUGUAGGUUCUAAUACCCAGUUGUAACCAAGAGCAACAGCAAAGUGUAAUAUACCUUUCUUUCGGGGCUUCCUGCAUAAGUUUGUUUUUCAUAUUCU